rnacentral:rRNA from 1 species
GCAAGUCGUGCGAGAAAGAUUCUUCGGAAUUGAGUAGAGCGGCGAACGGGUGAGUAACACGUAAAUAACCUACCUCUAAAUUUGGGACAACAUUGCUAACGCGAUGCUAAUACCGGAUGUGGUGUAAUUACUUCAUGGUAAUAACAUUAAAGGCGGUCUUUUGGGGCUGUUGUUUAGAGAUGGAUUUGCGCACUAUUAGUUUGUUGGUGAGGUAACGGCUUACCAAGACGAUGAUAGUUAGCCGACCUGAGAGGGUGAUC